CAAUUUUCAAGCAACCAAGUUGAAGAGCCUACCUUGCGAUGUAAGGUUUGCCAAAACUAGUUCAACGAACGAUUCGUUAUGAUUCAACCUUCCCAGCUGGUGGUUUUGAUGUUGUUUUGCAUAAUUUAAUCAUCGAGGUUUGGCUUUCCGGUGGCUUCUUCAAGAACACCAUCGCGACAGUUCCUCCAAAGCAUCCUCGCUGAACGGGUCGAGUUAUUUUCAUUUUCAAAAUGGUUUCUCGCGCUGGCUUUCGCGUUUUAGGUUAUGUGUACGCCAUUAUCGGUACUGUGCUGUCGUUUUUUAGUGCAUUUUCGAGUGGAAUUUUGAUUGCUUCUAAGGAUGAAAACCAUCAAUUUUACAUUGUGCUGGCAUGCAGUUUACUAAAUAUAGUAUUUUAUACUAUUUUACUGAUUGGAAUAAGUCAAAAAAGUAGACUCUUAGUGAUAGCCCACCAAAUAUACCUGAUCGUUUCAAGUGCUCUCAUCUUCAUGGUUUGGCUGCUUGGAAUCGUCGGAGUGUUGUUUGUCGAUGAAUCUUCAGAUAAAAGUACUAUGGUUAUUAUAUCGCUUAUAGUCUGUGGUAUUGCUUCAGCUCUUUACCUUUGCUGCAUCUGGAUUGUAAGUGGAGUGCUCAGGUACAUCGACCAUGAACGUGAAUCAACAAGUGCAGUUCGUUCACUUCGAAAAACAAUAAAAGUUUAGUGUUUCCAACUUGAACUAUUAAUUUUUGUUGUUAAAACCAUCCGAACUUCAAAAAAUCAUGCAAGCAAACAAAACGAUGACACUUUCGUAAUAAACACAGCUGUUAAUUCAUUCAUCUUCGCACAAUCCUGCUGCUCAACAUCUGGUUCACUCUAGUCGUUUAGUCUGGCUUGAAGUAUCAACUCGAAAGGCAGCGUAGUGUAUCGUCCUCAUUCGGUAUGGUUUCGGCGAGCACAGCUCGCAAAUUAGGCUGGAUCUACGCAGUUAUCAGUCUUACGCUAGCCGCUUUGGAAUGUGCACUUUGCGUGUUCAGAAUUGUUCACGAAAUAAACUCCUUUACGUGCUUUGCGGUGGUUGUGGCGAUUGUUUGGGUUAUUUUUAGUAUCGUUUUGAUCGUUGGAAUCAAGCAGAAAAAUGCUUGGCACGUGAAAGCCUAUCGAGUUUUUCUUUUUGCUGGAAAUGCUCUAACGUUGCUGCUUCUAAUUGGUACCGAUGGUGAUGGACAGAUUACGAAUUGGAGUCAACAAAUUUGGGUGUCCCUCGUCGUUGGAAGUUUGGGAGUGAUUGCCUUAUUUGCACUGGAGCUUUGGAUCAUCAACGGAGUGAUUCGUUACAUUGAGAGAGAAAAAGAAAUUCAUGUGUGAGGAAUAAAUCAAUGAAUAAUGCUAUACAUUUUCGCAAA